AGAGUUUGAUCAUGGCUCAGGACGAACGCUGGCGGCGUGCCUAACACAUGCAAGUCGAGCGGGAUCCAACCAGUGGCAACACUGGGGAAGAUCUAGCGGCGAACGGGUGAGUAACACGUGAGAAACUUGCCCCGGAGUUCGGGAUAACCCGAGGAAACUCGAGCUAAUACCGAAUGCCCUCUUCUGAUCGCAUGGUCGGAUGAGGAAAGAUUUAUCGCUCCGGGAGAGUCUCGCGGCCUAUCAGCUAGUUGGCGGGGUAACGGCCCACCAAGGCAUCGACGGGUAGCUGGUCUGAGAGGACGAUCAGCCACACUGGGACUGAGACACGGCCCAGACUCCUACGGGAGGCAGCAGUGGGGAAUCUUGCGCAAUGGGCGAAAGCCUGACGCAGCAACGCCGCGUGCGGGAUGAAGGCCUUCGGGUUGUAAACCGCUUUCAGCAGGGACGAAAUUGACGGUACCUGCAGAAGAAGCCCCGGCCAACUACGUGCCAGCAGCCGCGGUAACACGUAGGGGGCAAGCGUUGUCCGGAUUUAUUGGGCGUAAAGAGCUCGUAGGCGGCUCGGUAAGUCGGGUGUGAAACCUCCAGGCUCAACCUGGAGACGCCACCUGAUACUGCUGUGGCUAGAGUCCGGUAGGGGAGUGUGGAACUCCUGGUGUAGCGGUGAAAUGCGCAGAUAUCAGGAAGAACACCAGCGGCGAAGGCGGCACUCUGGGCCGGAACUGACGCUGAGGAGCGAAAGCGUGGGUAGCAAACAGGAUUAGAUACCCUAGUAGUCC
rnacentral:rRNA from 1 species